ensembl:lncRNA
UGAAUGUAUGUGGUAGGAUAAGUGGAAGAAAUUAGAGCUUUUCCCUCCUGUUGCCUUUUUGCAGUUCCCCUUCUGAAGUUUUUGAAACUGUUCAAGAAACAGUAGGAUGAACAACUCUUGGUCAUUUUUUGUCUUUUUAUUCUGUGACUCUCAAGUUGAAAAGAAGAAAAAUAACCUGGAUUUACAAAUCAAUCAUGGGGCAAUAAUGAAUUGUAAACCUGUUGAAGAUGCGGAAAAGGUAAACGUGGAAUCAGAAUAUCCCAAGUUGGAAGUGACCCAUAAGGAUCAUCAAGUCCUACUCCUAAGAGAUAUGUAUCAAGAGUUUACGAGAAAUUUGAGUAUUGAUGGCCCAUAUUUUUAUUUCAUGUCAUCAAAGAGAAUGUGGAGGCUACCAAAGACCUGAGCUCCUUCGAACACCCAGCCUAAGAAAACAAUGACCUAUGUCUGGAAAAGACUAAAAUGGCUUUCUUUUCUGUGGGUACUUACUGCAGAUUUUGGGUUAGCUUGACUUGCUAUCAGCAACAUUACUAUUGCC